GCCUGGGUGGCUCAGGCGGUUGAGCGUCCGACUUCCGCUCAGGUCAGUAUCUCACGGUUUGUGGGUUCGAGCCCCACAUCAGGCU
rfam:Felis catus isolate Cinnamon breed Abyssinian chromosome D3, whole genome shotgun sequence.